AUCUAAUAGAAAAAAAAUUAUCAUAGUAAUUAUGAAAAAAAAAGAUAUAUUUUUAAAAUUAUAUUUAAUUUUUUAUGCAAAUAAAAUGUUAUAUUAGUUUAUAUAUAGAUAUAGUAAAAGUAUUAGGUGAAUUUGGUGGUAUUCCAUACCUUAGAUGGCAUUAGUCCAGUAUCCAAAAAUAUAAAUAAAAUAUUUUAUUUGUAUGUAUGAUGGUAAAUCCGUAUGAAUUUUUUUAAAACAAAAAAAAAACACCUUUAAAAAAUAAAAUACUACUAAGUAUUUGAUAGCGAAAAAGUACUGUAGAGGAAAAAUUAUAUAAUAUAUAUAUAAUUAUAAUAUUUUGUGAAAAAGAAUAUAAAUCUUGAGUUAUCAAUCAGUAGUAAAAUAUAUAAUAUUAAUAUUAUAUAUUUUACUUAAUUCUUGUUGAAGAAUGAGCCGGCUACUUUUAUACAAUGGCUUGAUUAAGUAAAAACUGUAAUCAUAGAAAAAUCAAGUUUUUUUUUAAUUGUUAUAUGUCAUUGUUUAUGUACCCGAACCUGGGUGAUCUAUCCAUGACCAGGAUGAAACGAAACUAAAAUUUAAUUUAAGUGGAAGUCUGAACCGACUGAUAUUGAAUAACCAGCGAAUGAGUUUUGGUUAGUAGUGAAAUACCAAUCGAGCCUAGAGCUAGCUGGUUCUCCUCGAAAUGUAUUUAGGUACAGCAGUUUUUAAAGGUGUGUUGUGUUAUUUAUUAGGUGUAAAAAGUUUUAUAUUUUAUAUAUAAACUAAUAAUACUAAAAAACCUAGUGAGAUGAUGAGGGGUAAGCUUUAUCAUCAAGAGGGAAACAGCCCAGAUCAUCAGAAAAGGCUCCAAAAAAAUUAUUAUUAGUAAAAUAAGGAAAUAAAAUUAUAUGGACAAUCAGAGGGUUUGCCUGGAAGCAGAAAUUCCCUAAAAGAAUGCGUAAUAGCUCACUGAUCAAAUUAAUUUUGUGCUGAAUAUAUAUAUAAGGAUAUAAGUGUUUGCCGAAACUUUGGGAUUAAAAAAAUCAGUAGGGGAGCGUUCUGACGACAUUAUAUGAUAAUUUUUCUUAAUAAAAUAAUUAUAUUUAUAUAUGUUUAUUUUCAGAAGUGAAAAUGUUGGCUUAAGUAACGCAAACAAUGGUUUUUAUAAAUCCAAAAACCCCAAAAACCUAAGGAUUCCUUUUCAAUAAAAUAUAAAUUAUAUAUUUUUAAGGGUGAGUCAGGACUUAAGAUCAGACCAAAUGAAAAGGUGUAAUCGAUGGAUAAAACAGGUAAACAAAAUCCUGUAUUUUUUUUUUUAAUAUUAUAAUUAUUUAGUUACGAGAAACGAAAUAAAUAAUUAUAAAUUAUGGAUUUAAGAUUUUAAGGUGAAAUAAUAAAGAUUAAUAAAGUAGAGAAAAUAUAUUAUUUUAAAAUUAUACCUAAAUUAAAAUAAAAUUAAGUAUUAAGUAUGAUGAGUACUAAAAAAAAAGUUAUGAAUAUUAAUAUUAAUUAUAUAUAUUUAAUAUUUCCAAGAAAAUCUUGAAUAACUUUUUUUUUGAAAAAAAAAAACCUGUACCUGAAACCUACAUAGGUGGGUAGGUAAAUAAUAAUACCUAGGGAAUCGAGAUAACUAUCUUUAAGGAACUCGGCAAAAUAACCUCAUAACUUUUGGAAAAGGGGUUCCCUAAACUAAUUUAAAAGGGUUGCAGUGAAUAGAUCCAAACGACUGUUUAUCAAAAACACAAGUCUCUGCAAAGUCGUAAGACUACGUAUUGGGGCUGACACCUGCCCAGUGCCAAAAAAUAAAAAUAGGUAGGUUACUUUAUAACGAGUAAAUAUAAAUUAUCUAAAUUACUAUUGGUAAACGGCGGCUGUAACUAUAACGGUCCUAAGGUAGCGAAAUUCCUUGUCGGGUAAGUUCCGACCCGCACGAAAGGUGUAACGAUUUGGGUGCUGUCUCAGGGAUAGACUCGGUGAAAUAGACAUGUCUGUGAAGAUGCGGACUACUUAAACUUGGACAGAAAGACCCUAUGAAACUUUACUCUAUUUUUGGUAUUGAUUUAUUUCUCUGUGUAUAAUUAUUUGUGGUAUCAUGGAUAUAUAUUAUAUAAAACAUAAUUAUAAAAAUAUUUUAUACCAUACCACUCUUGAAAAAUAAAUUUUUAUUUUACCUUAACCUUAUGUCAAAACUUACGGUCCAAGGGACAGUUCAAAAAAUAUAGUUUAUAUGGGGCGUAAACCUAAAAAAAAAUAACAAGUGGGUGUGCAAAAGGUUUUCCUAACAAAAAAGUGUUUUGAGUAAAAAGACAAAAGGAUAACUUGACUGCAAAAUCUACCUUUUGAGCAGGGAUUAAAGUCGGCCUUAGUGAUCUGAGGAUUCCUAGUGUGUAGGUCUUUACUAAACGGAAAAAGUUACUCUAGGGAUAACAGGCUUAUCUUUUUUAGGAGUUCAUAUCCUAAAAAAGGUUUGGCACCUCGAUGUCGGCUCUUCGCGACCUGGGGCUGUAGAAUUUUGUUCCAAGGGUUGGGUUGUUCGCCCAUUAAAGCGGUAUGUGAGCUGGGUUCAGAACGUCGUGAGACAGUUCGGUCCAUAUCUGGUUUAGGCGUUAGAGCAUUGUGUGGAUAUACUUCUUAGUACGAGAGGACCUGGAAAAAAUACCUAUGAUGUACUAGUUAUUAUGCCUAUGGUAAACACUGGUUAGUUAAGUAUAUAGAGAUAAUAGAUGAAAGCAUAUAAGUUUUUUUAAGCUCAUCUCAAGAUGAGUGCUCU
rnacentral:rRNA from 1 species